rnacentral:rRNA from 1 species
GACGAACGCUGGCGGCGUGCUUAACACAUGCAAGUCGAACGGAAAGGCCCUGCUUUUGUGGGGUGCUCGAGUGGCGAACGGGUGAGUAACACGUGAGUAACCUGCCCUUGACUUUGGGAUAACUUCAGGAAACUGGGGCUAAUACCGGAUAGGAGCUCCUGCUGCAUGGUGGGGGUUGGAAAAUUUCGGCGGUUGGGGAUGGACUCGCGGCUUAUCAGCUUGUUGGUGGGGUAGUGGCUUACCAAGGCUUUGACGGGUAGCCGGCCUGAGAGGGUGACCGGCCACAUUGGGACUGAGAUACGGCCCAGACUCCUACGGGAGGCAGCAGUGGGGAAUAUUGCACAAUGGGCGGAAGCCUGAUGCAGCAACGCCGCGUGCGGGAUGACGGCCUUCGGGUUGUAAACCGCUUUCGCCUGUGACGAAGCGUGAGUGACGGUAAUGGGUAAAGAAGCACCGGCUAACUACGUG